rnacentral:rRNA from 1 species
UACGAAGGGGGCUAGCGUUGUUCGGAAUUACUGGGCGUAAAGCGCGUGUAGGCGGGUCUUUAAGUCAGGGGUGAAAUGCCAAGGCUCAACCUUGGAACUGCCUUUGAUACUGGAGAUCUUGAGUCCGGGAGAGGUGAGUAGAGUUGCGAGUGUAGAGGUGAAAUUCGUAGAUAUUCGCAAGAACACCAGUGGCGAAGGCGGCUCACUGGCCCGGAACUGACGCUGAGACGCGAAAGCGUGGGGAGCAAACAGG